AGCAUCUCUGAUGCGGGCAGGGUUGCCGUUGCGUGGACUUGAAAAGAAGCCAGAAUUCAAGCCAAAAGUAGCCAAAGUAGUCAUGCCAUUUAAUAUUAUCGCCAGAUUUGUAGCCAAAUAGAACAGAAGCGGUAUUAUGAGUAGA
rnacentral:lncRNA from 1 species